rnacentral:rRNA from 1 species
AAGGGAGAGGAAUAAGUAGAAAUCUACCCUCGGAUCGGGGAUAGCGGCGGGAAACUGCCGGUAAUACCCGAUAACGUCUUUGGACCAAAGGUGUGAUUCCGUCUGAGGAUGAGUCUACUUCCUAUUAGCUAGUUGGCGGGGUAAUGGCCCACCAAGGCAACGAUGGGUAGCAGGUGUGAGAGCACGACCUGCCUCAUUGGGACUGAGACACUGCCCAGACACCUACGGGUGGCUGCAGUCGAGAAUCUUCGGCAAUGGACGAAAGUCUGACCGAGCGACGCCGCGUGCGGGAUGAAGGCCUUCGGGUUGUAAACCGCUGUCGGAGGGGAACAAAUGUACGGGGGUACUCCCCUGUAUUUGAGUGAACCUAGGAGGAAGGGGAGGCUAAGCUCGUGCCAGCAGCCGCGGUAAGACGAGCUCCCCGAACGUUAUUCGGUAUCACUGGGCUUAAAGAGUUCGUAGGCGGUCUGGUAGGUGAGGUGUGAAAUCCCCCGGCUCAACCGGGGAACUGCGCUUCAAACCACCGGACUUGAGGGAGACAGAGGUGGGCGGAACAGAUGGUGGAGCGGUGAAAUGCGUUGA